GAGUUUGAUCAUGGCUCAGAUUGAACGCUGGCGGCAUGCCUUACACAUGCAAGUCGAACGGCAGCACGGGAGCUUGCUCCUGGUGGCGAGUGGCGAACGGGUGAGUAAUGCAUCGGAACGUAUCCUGGAGUGGGGGAUAACGUAGCGAAAGUUACGCUAAUACCGCAUAUUCUGUGAGCAGGAAAGCGGGGGACCUUCGGGCCUCGCGCUCUUGGAGCGGCCGAUGUCGGAUUAGCUAGUUGGUGAGGUAAAGGCUCACCAAGGCGACGAUCCGUAGCAGGUCUGAGAGGAUGAUCUGCCACACUGGAACUGAGACACGGUCCAGACUCCUACGGGAGGCAGCAGUGGGGAAUUUUGGACAAUGGGGCAACCCUGAUCCAGCCAUGCCGCGUGAGUGAAGAAGGCC
rnacentral:rRNA from 2 species